CUUUAAAAGAGUCUGUUAGAAUUUGCUCAGGUAAGGCUCCACCCAUUUUUGUUGCCAUAAGAAGUGUCAUUCCCGAGAUGAAAGUCAGAGAGGGAGGAGGCUACACUUCACUAGCUUUUUAAAGAGAAGAAACGGACCUGGAGUUAGAAUCAAGACCUAAAAAGAGCAGAAAACAGAAACAUUUAUAGAAAAAAAACAGAAGCAGGAAAAAUAAACUUCUCUACAGUCUUUUCUGCUGAAUGUUAACUUCAUUUAAGAACUGAAAAAUAGCUGGAAACUACAUACUUCUGAUAAAGUUGUUACUAAUUUUCUCUUGAAAAUUGAAAAGGGAUCCAAAUUUCUCUGACGGCGUAAAACAGAAUUGCAAAUGCAACCAAAAUUACCUGAAACAAAGAUACUGAGCUUUAUUUAUGAAGGAUUGUUGCAAUAACCUGGUGGAUAAGUUUCAAAGAUAAAACACAAAACACACCCUAACAGGAGUUUGCUGUUUGACAGAAUUGUGCCAUCUUCACAUUUCAAACAGCACAAAUACUGAACCUGUAAAACAUUUCUCACUACAAAGUUACCGGGAAUUAUCAGCACUAAACAGCCGGCCUAUAACAUCAGCGUUUGUUUUUGAACAAAUUAAAUAUUUCAGAAUAUCUGAAAGGAAAAAAAAACAUUUGCAGUGUGAACGGUGUGGAAAAAAAAUGUCAGAGGUUGUUUUGCAGUACAGCCAGAGUGGUAUGCCUGGGUUUCCAGAUCGUUCCAGCGCAGGUCAGAUGGGAAAGAUGAACUUUAGUUCAGAAGAAAUCCAGUAUAAUACAAACCAAAUGCGUCCAGUGAAAAGGGCUCCAAAACUAGGUCUUAUUGGGAGAUCUAAGAGAGUUGUCAUUGAAGAUGAUGAUGACAUUAUUCUUGAUCACAGUGCAAAAUCUCCCCUAUCCAAGAUGUGAAUUGUCUUCUUUCAUGUUGGACUGUUUUUCUCACUGGCAGAGAAGAAAUUUGUUUCCCAUACCUUUGAUCUUUGUUCCCUUGUCUAAUAUAUAUGGAUGCUAGGAAAUAUCCUGUGAUCAAAGUUAAAGUUACUUGAACUGAACAUCCAGAUAAUUCAAAGCCUUUUGCAACUGACAUUUUACCUUUUUCUUAAAUUACUUGUUCAACAGACUUUAUACAUGAUCACACUGCUUCGACCUAGAAACAUGGACAUUAAGUAAUUUUUCCUUCAGUCUAUGAGUGUUUAAUUUCUGAAUUUACGAGUCAAAGUGUGUCCCAGUUUGAUGAUGUAUCUUAACUUGUUAAGACAGAAAACCAAGCCCAACAAUGACAUCAAAAGUUGCCUGGUUCAUUGAUGAAAGAAAGAAUAUUUGGAAUGUCAAAGAUUUGUAAACUGCUAUAGCACAGUAUUACUUUAUAAGGUACACGAAGUUCUUACUAUUUGUAAGAGACACAGAUGUUAAGAAAUCCACCCAAAUUUGUAUUUGUCCUUUCCUCACCUAGGAGUUUAUACUUUGUGCCUCACACCCAAGAUUAGCUUUAGACACAUUGCCAGAGUGAGCACUUUCAUGCUGUAUUAUGGGGUUCCAACAGAAGGGUACAAAGCAGACACUGGGAAGAUACUGCCAUUUUGCUUUUGGUAUGAAAUGCUUGUAGACCAUACACUAGUGUCUCCAUAAAUCAAGUCAAUGCUACCACGCUCAGUGCAAACAGCAUGACAUAUGGUGUUCUAGAACAUGCUGCAUGAUCACUUCCACUGUGAUGUCAUGGAAGAUAUCGGACUCCAUCUUAGAAACAGCAACACGGUCUGCAAUCAUUAUUAAGAAAGAUGGAGAAGAUGACCGAAGUGGUCAUGCAUUGUAAUAAAUAUAUGGGAACUGACUGGUCUUUGUGUCUGGUUGUAAAAAUAUCUAAACAAGAUUAAAUUAAAAAAAGAAUGCUGAACAGAUAUUUGAUUCUUCCAGAAUGAUACACUUGCUCAAUCUGAAUUUUGUGGCCAUAAAGCAGAACAUUUUAGAUUUUCUAACAAUAAAAUCUCCUCACUAACCAAAUAAUUUUAGGACUUGGUGUCUUUCUUCUGAAUGAUAUGCAAAGUCUCCUUUCUACAAUACUGCCUUCACAGGGAAAGUCUAUUCCCUUCCACCAUAUUAUCUGCAGUUAGACAGCCUUGCUGCAUUACCAUAUCAUGGACCAGACAGUGAACACAACACCAACAAGUUGAAAUAACUACAAACAGUUACCCUGUAUCUUUUGAUUCAUGCACACACAUCAAAUGGAAGAUAUGCAACAUUAAACAUGAAAUUAAACACAUUACUGUAUGCAACUCAGUGCUCUGGUCACAUUCAACAUGGUGUUACUCCCAGCAUCCAUCUUCCUGGCUCAAAGUUGUCAGGGGCACACACGAAAAUUAUCAUCCAGUCUUGUAGGCAAUUCCUGAACUAUGGCUGCAGUUAUCAAAUGUCAGAUUUUGUGUAUAAAUCAACAGUCUUUGUUGGAAAUGCCUUGCUGAUAGCAAGUUUAGUUAAUCUAGUACCUCAGUAAAGAAGACCCAGAUUUGAGCCACAACUUGACUCUGCUACAGCUGCACAGAUGUUUUAAUGUAUUUCUGUAAAAAUCCAAAAAAAACGCAAGCAAGUUUCUGGAAUUGGUAGAAACAAAAUCCAGUAAUAGAAGAACAACCAGCUAGUCAGCGCUUUCAUCCACUUAGAAAGACGUAAUCAGAAGUGUUACAGUGCAUGUGAUCGGCUGACCAGCUGGUUAUUCUUCUGUUAUUAUAUUUCUAUAAAAGUCUUCCCUUAUUAUGACAAAUCUCAGUUUGACAGUCUCAGUAUACCUUUCUUACCAUAUUUACCUAUAAUACAUAGAAUGUUGUACUCACUCAUGGUACCCUGUGCUUCUUUACUAAUUUUGCUAUUAUAUUACUAUAAAAGUGUUCUCUUAUUAUGACAAAUCUCAGUAUGACAAUCUCAGUACACCUCUCUUACCAUAACUAUCCAUGAUAAACAGAAUGUUUUACUCACUCAGGGUACCCUGUGCUUCUUUACUAAUUUUGCUAUUAUAUUUCUAUAAAAGUGUUCCCUUAUUGUGACAAAUCUCAGUAUGCUUCUCUUACCCUACUUACCACAAUACACAGAAUUUUGUACUCACUCAGGGUACCCUGUGCUUCUUUACUAAUUUUGCUUUUCUGCAUAGGUAUUGAACCUGGUAUACACAUCAUGCGGGCUUUCUAAAAUACCCUGAGAGUACUUGUGCUCUCUGGUUUGCCCAGGAUAUUGUGUGAGUGUGGCUUACUAAGUUUCCCAUUGUAACUCAUUUUCACUAUUUAGGGUACUAUAGGUUUCGCAAACCCAUCUUGUAUAAGAAAGUUAUCACGCAAUUUGGUAUCAUCCUCAGUAAACAUAAUAUCCAAGCCUCCUCAACAUAUGCAAUUUACCAAACAUAUUCAACAACUUCCUUCUUAACAUAGUCAGCAGGAAUACUUGAGGUGUUUAUCUUAUAGUCUUACGAUGCCCUCCAAUUUCCUGUUGUUUCAAUGACUAUAUUAAAUGCCUUACUAAAUGACAAUAUAUUCACUCUUACAUUUAUAAUCUCCGUAUCCACACUGCAGUGUUAAGGUAUUCCAAAAGUUUCAGCAUAUUAUAGAAAAAUCAAUAAUUUUUGAUAUUACAUUUUGAUUACAUCACUUCUGGAUUUCUACUUUUGUCAUUACAUCUUGAAGGACAUCAAAGCACAGGAUUAUCAAAUCAAUUAUUGCAAAUUAAACAACUGCACAGCCAGACUAGCAAAUGAGUAACUUUGGUAUUAAAAAUAUAAGUAACAAGUUAAAGUAAUUAUGUUUGCAGAAAGGAGAAGUAGAAAAUAUAUAAAUACUGUAUAGAUUUUCUGCAUGAUACGUACAUUUUGAAAGCAACCAAUACAAAUUAGAUUUUAAUCUGGGAAAACAUCAGCCACUGAAAGACCUGUCUUUCCAUUUAAUGAUUGCUGGGUAGAUCCAAGCUAUGCUACCAAAGAUGGGCUGUAGUAUUUUUAUUCAUAAUUAUUUUGAUUUGUUUUGUCAAAGGGGCUGUGAAGUCCACAAUGAACUGUUCAUUUUUUGCAAUUAAAAUAUUUUAAAGAUUUGAACAGGUGUAAUCAGCUUUCUGAAGUCUUCAAGGGCAACAUAGUAAACAAAUGCAUGCCUAGGUUUUGUUAUACUAAUGUCAAAUCACAAACCAGCCUGUUUUUCUCAUGGAGCAUAGUAGGCAACAUUUUGAAUUUUAAACAAAAGUGACCAUUGUACUUAAUGCAAUCAAAACACAAGACUGCAGCCAUAUUGAAAUGCCUAUACUAAAAUAUGGACUUAAGUCCACAUAAAAGCCAGUAACUCAAGAUACACUGAAUGCGAUCUUCAUGGUAUUCUUAUGUCGAAAAUGAGGACAGCAAUACUAACAACACAAUCCUAAUCACCUUAAAUGGUGACUGAACACAGCGGACAACACAAAAUACUUCAGUAUUUAUAGAUCAUAAUCCUCAAGCAACCUGGUUCCUUAAGUGAAAUUGAAAGAUUGACACUGGAACAUUAGUCAAAGGUCACAUUUUCAUAUUCUAAAUUUUGAAAGGAAUCUUCAAGCAACAACAAGAUUAAAUGCUGCACUAGACUGUUUAAAAAACACUUAAAGCCAAACUGCAGACCAAUGACUUCAUAAAAUAUCACUGCCAAAAGGUGACUUAGAAGUCAGGUGAUGCCAUUAUCACAACCUAGUUGUUUUUGUUAAAUGCAGUUUGUCAUCAAAGACACGGUAUGGUGUUCUAAAAUAAAAUGAUUUGGACUUAAUUUGUAUCAGAAUUUAUUUGGUUUGUAUAAUUACAGAUAAUUCAUAUUAUUCUGUAACAGUUUUUGUGGCAUGCUUAAUUUUUUAAAUAAACAUGUGGUAAUGAAUCCAG